rnacentral:snRNA from 1 species
GGAUGUAAGGGCGAGCUGACUGCGACAUCUGUCAUCCCAUUGAUUGCCAGGGUUGAUUCAGCUGAUCUGGCUGGCUAGGUAGGUGUCCCCUUCCUCCCUCACCGCUCCACGUGCGUUCCUCACAAAGCUGCAUGCUCAGUUGAAGAGGACGACCAUCCCUAAUAAAAGAGGACUGUUCUUUGGUCAAGGGAAUACGAGUAGCUGUGCCCCCUGCUAGAACCUCCAAACAAGAACUCACAAAACUUUUUUUGAUUAUUUUUAUUUACUGUGAUUGGUCAAAACUGCAAAUAGGGCUCUGUAUGCUGAUUAUGUAUUGUGCUAUUUU